rnacentral:lncRNA from 1 species
CCAGGAAGCUAAUCCUGAAGACGGAUGCUGUACGGUCAUUGACAGUGGAUCUUACAAGCGCCGACCAUAAUAACUGCUAGCACACAGCAGGCAAAAGGAACGCUGUCCACAAAAGGAGUUGCGCUACAACCACCGCAGCAGGGAUGGUGUGAUACAGCUUUCCCAAGGCAAAGAAGGGAGUGGUAUACUGUGAAGCCUGUGAACACAGACCCAACGUCCCUAUUACAGGCUUCGCAGACUGGCUCCUGGAUAUCCUCUACAACGAGGUCACCCUGGACUGAGAUCCGUAUGUGGGGAAGCUGUGCGAGCUGUCCAUCCCAGGACCCCUGUCUGCCCAGUGUGAGAGGCCUGACAAGGAAGAGGCCAUAGCUGGAUUUGUCUCCCACUUCAAUCAUGGGGGUGACUGAAGCCUGCUCGAUUUGAAGCAGGGUACAUGGGUCCUCCACCUUUCCCGCUCCCCUCCCCAUCAAUCUCUGUAGUUGGUUGCAUUUCUUAAAGCCUAACUAAUUCACUUUUACGUGAUCUGAUAUCACAUUUCGUUACGUUGUAUUAUUUUAUUUAAGCAUUCGGACGGGAGAUGAUUGUUACAAAUUGUACGAAUCAAUGGGUCCUGCACACUGUCUAUAUUGGGCUUAUGGCUCUAAUAUUUUUUUAUGUGAAAUUAUGUCUCACUAUUAUUUCUCACCUUUAUUUCUCAUGAUUGUUCACGUUGAUCAAUAUUUUGGCUGUGCUGGCCUGUUGUAAAAUAUAAAAAUAAAUGUCUGAUCAAUACGCUGUUUUCAUGUACAUUCCCUUAUGUCUAACAACACUGAACACCUCCCUCUGCAACUGGAUCCUUGACUUCCUAGGUAGGCCUGAUUACUGACGACGAUGAGACAGCCUAUAGGGAGGAGGUCAGAGACAACAACCUCUCCCUCAACGUCAGCAAGACAAAGGAGCUGAUCGUGGACUACAGGA